UGGGGAAUUUUGGACAAUGGGGGCAACCCUGAUCCAGCCAUGCCGCGUGAGUGAAGAAGGCCUUCGGGUUGUAAAGCUCUUUCGGACGGGACGAAAUGGUUAGCGUGAAUAACGCUGACUGAUGACGGUACCGUAAUAAGAAGCUCCGGCUAACUUCGUGCCAGCAGCCGCGGUAAUACGAAGGGGGCUAGCGUUGUUCGGAUUUACUGGGCGUAAAGCGCGUGUAGGCGGGUCGUUAAGUUGGGGGUGAAAUCCCGAGGCUCAACCUCGGAACUGCCUUCAAAACUGGCGACCUGGACCUAAGUAGAGGCAAGUGGAAUUGCAAGUGUAGAGGUGAAAUUCGUAGAUAUUCGCAGGAACACCAGUGGCGAAGGCGACUUGCUGGACUUAUGGUGACGCUGAGACGCGAAAGCGGGGGGAGCAAACCGGAUUAGAUACCCAAGUAGUCCCUGAGCGGGCUGGCAAGGCGCAU
rnacentral:rRNA from 1 species